UACCUGCAGCUCAAGUGGUGAUCAUUAUUAUUGGGCCUAAAACGUCCGUAGCCGGUUUAGUAAAUGCCUGGGUAAAUCGUGUAGCUUAACUAUACGACUUCCGGGUAGACUACUAAACUUGAGACCGGGAGAGGCUAGAGGUACUCCUGGGGUAGAGGUGAAAUUCUGUAAUCCUAGGGGGACCACCAGUGGCGAAGGCGUCUAGCUAGAACGGGUCUGACGGUGAGGGACGAAGCCCUGGGGCACAAACCGGAUUAGAUACCCGGGUAGUCCAGGGUGUAAACGCUGCUUGCUUGAUGUUAGUUGGGCUCCGAGCCCAACCAGUGUCGGAGAGAAGUUGUUAAGCAAGCUGCCUGGGAAGUACGGUCGCAAGGCUGAAACUUAAAGGAAUUGGCGGGGAGCACAGCAACGGGUGGAGCGUGCGGUUU
rnacentral:rRNA from 1 species